rnacentral:sRNA from 1 species
AGUGAAGCAGAGAGGAGGGCCGGGACCAACAGGGCCCCUGCCCCGGUCGCCCCAUACCCAGAAUGCGGCCAGGCUGCUGGGAGGGCCGCCACUGGGCUUCCUCGGCUCACAGGGUGGAGGGGGUUGAGGAGAGGUUGUAUUUUGCUGUUCCCAGAGAGGAGGGACCGGAUUUGGCCUGGAGUGCUUCUAGCGUGGCUGGGAGCCGAGGGGCUUCCGGCUGCCUCGCCUGGAGCCCGCUCAGCCCUCAGUCUCUGUCCCAGCGAGGGCUGUCUCUGCAAGGCUUAGGGUGGGAGACGGUCCCCAGGGCCCUCCUGCAGUCCAACUGCCCAUGACUUUGCCCCAGGCCAGGCCAGGCCGGCUUGGGGCUCUCCAGGGUCUUGGCCAACAGUCCUGUGGACAGCCCGGAAAGGCCUGCCUGUCCGGCUGGCCCAGCCUCUCAGCGGAAAACAAAGGCGCUUCAGACCCGGCUGGCUUCUGUCCUGCCUGAGAGGCACUGUGAGGGCGAGGGUCCAGAAUCCUGCCCACCCUCACACCAGGCUGCCCCCACUGCUCAUACGUGAGUAGAACCCAGGCUGGGACGUCGGAGCACAUUGAGGAGGCCGCCCCAGAGCCCAUGCAGCCAGGGUGGGCAGCUGGUUUUCUUCUGAGCCAUUAGACCCAAUCGAUUUUGUGUUCCCAACUUGGACCCGUAAUAUGUGGCCAUUGACCCACCCAGCGGGUCUGAGGGCCAGUUCCCUGCCCCCACUUGGCCCACGUCCCAGAGCUGGCCAGAGCUGAGUGCUGGCAGCCCUGGGCUGCAGCUGCCACGGCCGAUAGCCAUCGAGACUUCCUUGCUGCUGCUGGGACAUGCCUGCCCACUGUGCAGCCAGCCCCUGCCUGCCCUGCCGAGAAGGUGAGCUCCCUGGGUAAGGACUGGCACAAGUUCUGCCUCAAGUGCGAGCGCUGCAGCAAGACGCUGACGCCCGGGGGCCACGCCGAGCAUGACGGGAAGCCGUUCUGCCACAAGCCGUGCUACGCCACCCUGUUCGGACCCAAAGGCGUGAACAUCGGGGGCGCGGGCUCCUACAUCUACGAGAAGCCCCUGGCGGAGGGGCCGCAGGUCACCGGCCCCAUCGAGGUCCCCGCGGCCCGAGCAGAGGAGCGGAAGGCCAGCGGCCCCCCGAAGGGGCCCAGCAGAGCUUCCAGUGUCACAACUUUCACCGGGGAGCCCAACACGUGCCCGCGCUGCAGCAAGAAGGUGUACUUCGCUGAGAAGGUGACGUCUCUGGGCAAGGAUUGGCACCGGCCCUGCCUGCGCUGCGAGCGCUGCGGGAAGACACUGACCCCCGGCGGGCACGCGGAGCACGAUGGCCAGCCCUACUGCCACAAGCCCUGCUAUGGAAUCCUCUUCGGACCCAAGGGAGUGAACACCGGUGCGGUGGGCAGCUACAUCUAUGACCGGGAUCCCGAAGGCAAGGUCCAGCCCUAGGCCACAGCGGCUGUCAUGAUGUGGGCUCACCUGCGCCCCAGACCCUGCAGGGGCCCCCCUGCUUGGCUCUGCUGGGAGAGUGCUCAGCCGCCCAGUCCUGCCUGCAAGCCCAGGGCGAGUAUUGGAGGAGGGGCAGCCACGGGCAGAGCGCCAUGCCCAUCCCUGAGUCUCUAGUGUGUCUGCCCCCUCUGGCGUCCUCUGGGCGUCCCAUGACCCCUUCUGUGUCUGCGUGUCCGAAUCCCCGUGUGACCCUGUCCCAGCGUUUUCCUGCCGGCCCUGCGCAUCCCUGCGUGUCCCUGUGUGUCCCUGUGGCGCUGUCCGCUCUCCCUCUCCUGCUGCCCACCCACCUGCCAGUGUUAUUUAUGCUGCCUUCAUGGGUGAUGGCCACGCCCCCACCAUGUCCCUGGCAGAGGACUUCCCUCCGGGAUCCCCUGCCUGGUGCCCACACGUCCUCGCAAGCGCUCGCCACCCUCACGUGGCCCACCUGCUGUUGAGCCUUGUGCUGUCAAUAAACGGUUUGAGGAUUGC